rnacentral:rRNA from 1 species
CGGGCGCGGCGAACGGUCUAAGUCCCUUGGAACGGGGCGUCGUAGAGGGUGAGAAUCCCGUAUGUGACCGGCGACCAAGCCCAUGUGAAACCCCUUCGACGAGUCGAGUUGUUUGGGAAUGCAGCUCCAAAUGGGUGGUAAAUUUCAUCUAAAGCUAAAUACCGGCCAGAGACCGAUAGCGCACAAGUAGAGUGAUCGAAAGAUGAAAAGCACUUUGGAAAGAGAGUCAAACAGUACGUGAAAUUGUUGAAAGGGAAGCGCUUGCACCCAGACCUGCCCGCGGGCGAUCAGCCAUCCCUUCGGGGGUGGUGCACUCGACCGCGAUCAGGCCAGCAUCGGUUCGGGCGGCCGGACAAAGGCCUUGGGAACGUAGCUCCUCUCGGGGAGUGUUAUAGCCCUCGGUGCAAUGCGGCCCGCCUGGACCGAGGACCGCGCUUCGGCUAGGAUGCUGGCGUAAUGGUUGUAAGCGGCCCGUCUUGAAACACGGACCAAGGAGUCUAACAUCUAUGCGAGUGUUCGGGUGUCAAACCCGUGCGCGUAAUGAAAGUGAACGGAGGUGGGAACCCGUUCGGGCGCACCAUCGACCGAUCCAGAUGUCUUCGGAUGGAUUUGAGUACGAGCAUAGCCGUUGGGACCCGAAAGAUGGUGAACUAUACUUGAAUAGGGUGAAGCCAGAGGAAACUCUGGUGGAGGCUCGCAGCGGUUCUGACGUGCAAAUCGAUCGUCAAAUUUGAGUAUAGGGGCGAAAGACUAAUCGAACCAUC